GCCUUGGCCUCCCAAAAUGCUGGAAUUGCAGGUGUAAGUGCCGUGCCUGGUCACUGGUUAGGCUACUUCUAACUUGUCUUUUUCUUUAUAGCCAGUCUAUGUGUCCCAUCCUCCCCUUUCUCCAGGCUGCAUCAGGUGCCUGCUGACCGUGCCCCUCCUCUGUGUGUGGCCAGAACAUCCAAGGCCCUCAACCCAAAUGAUGAGUACUGAUUCUCCCAACUAUGUUGUGAACUCUACAUUCAGGGCAGGAGCUGGGUCUUAUCUUUCACUGCACCCUUGGGGCUUACACAAUGCCUAGACGAAAGGAAGCCUUUGUAUCCAAUGCCUGAACUUGCUCCAAUAUUCCCCAACCUUUUACCUCCUUUUGCUGAUUGGAGACCUGGUUCUGACCUGCUUGGCUUGUGCAAAGCUCUGAGAGAGGAAAAAUUUGGCUUGGCCCCCUCCCGAUGGAAUCUUUCCAUUCCAAAGUUGUUUCUCCUUUCUUUGAGUCUCCUUUUAACCGUUCCCAAUUCCCUCAUUCCCAGGAACUCUUAAAUUCUUUCUCCCCUUAUCAAAAUACUCUUUCAGAAUAAGUACAUUCGCUUUGGAAUAAAACUGCUGUUUCCUUUCCCAGGCUUAUAUGUAUUUUAGCAGAAAAAAUUCAAAGGAAUUAAUUUCUAAUUGUGGAAAUUACAGGCCAUAGGAGGAGAAGGCGGAGGGAAAAAUUGAGGGUGAAUCAGCCUUCUGCAGAGACUUUCUUCAAAGACUUUCACGCAUCCUCUUUGAUUAGAGGAUUGGAAAAGGGCGAAGCUUACCCAUCUUCCGCAGGUGGCCAGAAGAACAAAGAAAAGAGAGAUUUUUCAAGCGUGGUUUCUCUCUUGGCUCAUUCCACACAUCUCCCUGUGGGGAUUCUACUUAGGGAAGGUGUGUCCCAGGGUUUGCCAAAGAUGGAGACAAUCGGAAGUAUCACAGCAAAAGGCGAGGAAUCAGAAAUCUCCAACUCCUGGGCUCAUGUGAUCCUCCCACCUCAGCCUCCCAAGUAGCUGGGAUUACAGGGUGAAAUUGAGGCACUGAGGAUGGGGUGGAAGUUACUGUUAAGGUCUUCACCUUAACACCAAUCCUACAGUGACCAGUCCUGGAAUAAGGAAAGGACCUAGGUGUCCUGAAUCACCCUUUGCUUUUUAGGAUCCCCUUGAAGCGUGACAGCUGCAAUGACUUCCAGAUGUCCGCCUCCUGUCUCCUAGCCGACUGAGGUGGAUGUGGUAAACUCCGCGAUGGAAACCAAAACCCCCACCAGAUGUGCCAUGUCAACGUCAGCCUCGCGCACAUCUGGCUUCAAUGCC